GAUGAACGCUGGCGGCGUGCUUAACACAUGCAAGUCGAACGAAGCACUUUAUUUGAUUUCCUUCGGGACUGAUUAUUUUGUGACUGAGUGGCGGACGGGUGAGUAACGCGUGGGUAACCUGCCUUGUACAGGGGGAUAACAGUUGGAAACGGCUGCUAAUACCGCAUAAGCGCACAGCAUCGCAUGAUGCAGUGUGAAAAACUCCGGUGGUAUAAGAUGGACCCGCGUUGGAUUAGCUAGUUGGUGAGGUAACGGCCCACCAAGGCGACGAUCCAUAGCCGACCUGAGAGGGGGACCGGCCACAUUGGGACUGAGACACGGCCCAAACUCCUACGGGAGGCAGCAGUGGGGAAUAUUGCACAAUGGGCGAAAGCCUGAUGCAGCGACGCCGCGUGAGCGAAGAAGUAUUUCGGGAUGUAAAGCUCUAUCAGCAGGGAAGAUAAUGACGGUACCUGACGAAGAAGCACCGGCUAAAUACGUG
rnacentral:rRNA from 1 species